UUUCCCAUUGAUUUGCUGCUAUUGUCUGUCAGUGAUAUGAGCAGGUAUACGCAUGGAAUAAAAUGAGACCCUUGCAAAUUGAGAUGAAAAUAAUAAUUUUCUCUCUUCUGCAUGGCCUGGACAUUG
rnacentral:snoRNA from 1 species